UAGAGUUUGAUCAUGGCUCAGAUUGAACGCUGGCGGCAGGCCUAACACAUGCAAGUCGAGCGGUAACAGGAAUUAGCUUGCUAAUUUGCUGACGAGCGGCGGACGGGUGAGUAAUGCUUGGGAAUAUGCCUUAUGGUGGGGGACAACAGUUGGAAACGACUGCUAAUACCGCAUAAUGUCUACGGACCAAAGGGGGGGAUCUUCGGACCUCUCGCCAUUUGAUUAGCCCAAGUGAGAUUAGCUAGUUGGUAAGGUAAUGGCUUACCAAGGCGACGAUCUCUAGCUGGUUUGAGAGGAUGAUCAGCCACACUGGGACUGAGACACGGCCCAGACUCCUACGGGAGGCAGCAGUGGGGAAUAUUGCACAAUGGGGGAAACCCUGAUGCAGCCAUGCCGCGUGUGUGAAGAAGGCCUUCGGGUUGUAAAGCACUUUCAGUUGUGAGGAAAGGUGUGUAGUUAAUAGCUGCAUACUGUGACGUUAACAACAGAAGAAGCACCGGCUAACUUCGUGCCAGCAGCCGCGGUAAUACGAGGGGUGCAAGCGUUAAUCGGAAUUACUGGGCGUAAAGCGUUCGUAGGCGGUUAAAUAAGCAAGAUGUGAAAGCCCAGGGCUCAACCUUGGAACUGCAUUUUGAACUGUUCGACUAGAGUACUGUAGAGGGGGGUAGAAUUUCA
rnacentral:rRNA from 1 species